AUAUUUACCCGGCAGAGGAGAUAUCACAGUCAUGAAGGUGGUUUAUCCAGGGGGAGGUUUAUCCAUUGUGCUGAACGUAUGUGCUGAACCCUACAUUUUCCCAAAUGUGGGAAACUCAACUGCCUAAUUUGUGGUAGUGAGGAACUGUGCUCACAUUCUCUCC